rnacentral:rRNA from 1 species
UACGGAGGAUGCGAGCGUUAUCCGGAUUUAUUGGGUUUAAAGGGUGCGUAGGCGGUUGUAUAAGUCAGCGGUGAAAUUUUCCGGCUUAACCGGGAGACUGCCGUUGAUACUGUAUAGCUUGAAUACGGUUGCUGUGAGUGGAAUGUGUGGUGUAGCGGUGAAAUGCAUAGAUAUCACACAGAAUAUCGAUUGCGAAGGCAGCUCACAAAGCCGUUAUUGACGCUGAUGCACGAAAGUGUGGGGAU